AACGAACGCUGGCGGCAUGCCUAACACAUGCAAGUCGAACGAGACCUUCGGGUCUAGUGGCGCACGGGUGCGUAACGCGUGGGAAUCUGCCCUUGGGUUCGGGAUAACAGUUGGAAACGACUGCUAAUACCGGAUGAUGACUUCGGUCCAAAGAUUUAUCGCCCAGGGAUGAGCCCGCGUAGGAUUAGCUAGUUGGUGAG
rnacentral:rRNA from 1 species